AUUCAAUUAAUUAACAAAUCUCAAGGAAACCUAACAUCCUUAAACUACAUAGAAAUAUUUACUACAAAAUCUUUAGUAUAAUGUCAGAUUUCGACAUAUUCAUUGUUAUUUUUUAUGUCCUUAAAUGAAACGACAUAAUUUAAAAGAUGAAUCUAAAUAUAUUUCUUCUGUUUUUCUUUAUGGCAUUGCUGGUAGAAAUAUGCUGUAAACCUUGGGGAUACAGUCCUUUACAUAGAUCAUGGACAAGUUGGGAAGAUUCAAGUCCAUCAUACCAAAGAAAAAAAUUUGGUGGCAAAGGAUUCAUAACGUUUGGAGUCCCUGGAGGUUCAGGAUAAUGAAUAGAAAAAGGCUUUGUGUAUAGUUAUUUUAGUUUUAUUAAAGAAAAUUAAACAAUUAGUAUCAUGGAUUAGUAUACAUUGUAUGUUAGCUAUGUAUUUAAAAACCGAAAUAUUUUACUUUGAAUAUUAAAAAAAUAUAUUUUUCGGUUAAAUUUUGAGAACCACUGGAUCUUUUCUAGGUUUUCUUUUUUGUAAAUUUAAUUUACUAUCUAUGUCGCCAUAUUAUGAAGAUAUUAUGUUUUUUUAACUAAAAAUUUAAAAAAAAUAAAAACUUUUUCAAAAAAUAUUUGCACUCAUUUAAGGCUCACUCUGUAUAUUUCCUGUAAAAUUCAGUUGCUUCAGACAGUUAUCACAUUUUUCUAACAGUAAAUAGCAAGUCGAAAAUAAAAAUAAACUCUAAAAAUGAAAAAAAAAAAUAUGUAUCAUAAUACAAUAAUUAAUUUAUUUAUUAAAUCAUCAAAAAUUCUGUAUAAAAUGAAUUACAUUCAGAAAAAAUCACAUAAAUCGUCUAAGCUAUCCGUGAGUUUCCACCGCGAUCACCAGCUCCGUGGCCCCCAUUAUUAGGGCCUCCUCUGUUACCGCUGGACCCCCCUCUGCCCCCAUUUGCGCCGCUGCUGCCUCCUGAACCCCCACUACUGGGACUAUCCCUGGAAGCACUAGCGAAGAUGCCCUGGAUUGCCAACAGGACUAUAAAGAAGAACACC